UAGCAUUUGACAACACAUGCCUUGGUUUUAGCAAAACUUUUUAACGAUGAAUGUUUUAAUACUAUAUAAAUACAAUCUUACAAUAAUAAGUUGAAGACGGUAUAGUACCAGAAAGGCCGUUAACCAAGAAGGCCUUCUCAAAAAGGCCGCAUAAGUGAACCAAAAAGGUGUUGGCGGGAUACCAUCAUCAACUGGAGAUAAGCCGGUAAGAAGAUGACCAUAAAACAGUGACCCUUGAUUCGCGUAGAGUUCUUUCUUACAUACCACAUGACCUAUGUUUUUUAUUGUCAUUGUGAAGCAAAUACAAUAAUCUGUGUUCUAAUUCCUUUUGUAUCCAUUCAUAAAAUUAAUGAUUACAUCAUGUUCAUGAAAAUGAAUGUGACAUCAAAAUACUGUUUGUGUUUGCUAUUUUCAACAAGUUUAUAUUAUGGGUGAGUAAAGUAGAUUGUAUGUUGUGUCAUUACUAUAAAGAUUGUCACUUGUGCUUAUUUGUAUAAUUGACUAGCUUGUAUGUUUUAUUUUGGGUAAUAUCAUAGCAAUUAAUGUCAGUACAUUCACAUUGGAUCAUUUUAAUAAUUUGAAAUUGAAAAUGAUCAAGCCUCAUACAGGCUCAAUUGGUCAUUGUCGGCUCGGGUACUACUGACAUGUACCUGGGGUACUUUUAAGUAUACUUAAAUGUACCCCAGGGAACAGUUUCAAUAAACAUCGUAGUACAUAUAUACAAUACGAUACAUUUUUCGAAGAUGCAUAAUUGCUUAAGUCAAUAUCAUAUGUGUCAUGUUCUGAGACUUUUGGUACUAAUUCGGCAAGCGUCAUAAUGAGAAAACUCAUUCGAAAUGACAUCACUUAACUUGCGCUGAAUUUUGAUACAUUGCCUAAGGUUUUCUGUGAUUUUACCAUUUAUCUUAUUUAAGUUAUAUAAAUAUCGGCAUAGACUAGUACUUGAAAUAAGUUUUUAGCAAACAAAUAGUUGAUUUUGACCUUUUAAUGUCAAUGAGCUGAGUUAUUACUUCCCUUUUACCAAAGUCGGCCACCAAAUAUUUCAAUGAGCUGACUUGUUACUCCCCUUUUAACGAAUUUGGCAAGGGCUAGUUUAUAGCCACACACACUUUUUCAACUCAUGUUGAUACCGUUUUCAGCUCGAUGCUAAUAAUAAUGUUUGAAUUCGUCUUUGAAAAGAAUAACAUCAGACAUGCCAGCUGGAAGAUAAAAAGCCACACAGGGUCAAUGUGCAGAAGAUGUCAAGUAAUACUUGACCUUCUUGGGAAGAAGUUUCAUAAGCUAUUGUAUACCAAUCAAACAGGAAACACUAAGCCUCUCUGCUCAAUGCCUGUGCUAUAAGAGGAAGAAUAAGAAUGCUGUGCAAAAGGAACUAUUCCUGUCUAUCCCACUUGCAGAUGUAGCAAUGCCAACAAUAUGUGACUAAUAACUCAUAGUACACCUAGUUGCUGUAAUAUUUUCAAAUCAUGAGCAGUCUAUCAUUAUGUGCUGCAACAAUUGUAGAUUUAAGAGUUAUAAACUUCCUCAAGACCGCACUCAUAUUUAUUGAAUAUGUUUGAAUGUAUAAUACAUUUUACAAAUACUCAUUUUAUUAUGCAUUUUUUUUAAUUAUUUUAAUUCAUUCUAAUAUUACAUGUCAACUUAAACAACUGUAUGCAUUUUUAAUUUUUACAAUAGUAACCAUGGCGACCACAAAGUUGUGAUCAUUGCCAUGCAACUAACACUUAAAAAUAAAUGAUUCCUGAAUGUAUUGUCAUUUAAUAGGUUUUAAGAUAGCCAUGUGUAAACUAAUUGUACGAUUAAAUGAAUAUUAAACAAAUCUGAGAAAAUUAUGUUUGUCUAUGUAUAUACUUAAUUAAAUGGGAUCUGUUUUAAUUCUUUAAAGAUGUAUAUAAUACUUGAAUUACAAUUAAAUCUGAAUUGCUAAGAGAUUUAAAAAUGCAAUUUGUUAUAACAUUGCUUUUUGUGUUUGUUUUUUUACAAGGUUUAAUAAACAUAAUAUUUAAUGUUCACGUCUUUUAAAUACAUUAUUUUAUUUUCACCUCUUUCAAAAAAAUGAUGUUGUGUAUAGAUCUUGGUUUCCAUGGUUACAGUACAAUUAAACAUUGAGAUUCUUUGUAAACAAUCACUGAUGAUUUUUGGAAAAUAUAAUGGUGCAGUUUGUAAGACAUAUUUUGUAGUGUCAUUCAAUUUGUUAAAAUUUGCUAGUUGUAGGUAAUCUUAUCCGAUCCAAAUGUUCUGCAAACGAAUUUAGCGCAAAUAACCACAAGAGUCUAUAUCUAUUGAGAUAGACAUUAUGACUUUGUAUCUGCAUUAGGUAUGGAAGAAUGUUUUUUUUUCAAUAUAUCAUUUAUUAAACAAACAACAGUUAAAAAGUGCAUUUCAUACCCAAAAUUUCAAUAGUUUGAAUUAUUUAAGGUGUUUCCAUGGUAACCAAUAGACAUUUUAAAAUGUUUAUAAUGUUUUCUAAUUCUUCAGAAGUAUUAAGUAUAUCAUAUUAUAACACCAUAUGUUACUGAUUUAUUCAUGCACUUGUAGACGUAUUAUUAAUGUAUUAACAUAAUUUAUUGACAUGAAAAUAAAUCAAAAAAUGUUUAUUUUUUGUGUUUUAAUAGGCAUUUCUAAAUCAGCCCUUUUAACCUUAAAUUGAUUUUUUGUGUGCAAAAAUCUUAAUUUUACCGUGUGCACCAUACAUGGAGCUUUCUGAAAAUGUAAAUAAGUCAAUUAAGUCCAUGUACCCCGUUUUGACCCAACACUCAGAACAGUCCACAUAUGAUU